UACGGAGGGGGCAAGCGUUGUUCGGAUUUACUGGGCGUAAAGGGUGUGUAGGCGGCCGUGCAAGUCUGGUGUGAAAUCUUGAGCGCUUAACGCGAAGAGGUCACUGGAAACUGCGCGGCUCGAGUGUGGUAGAGGCAAGCGGAAUUCCUGGUGUAGCGGUGGAAUGUGUAGAUAUCAGGAAGAACACCGGUGGCGAAGGCGGCUUGCUGGGCCAUCACUGACGCUGAGACACGAAAGCGUGGGGAGCAAACGGG
rnacentral:rRNA from 1 species